rnacentral:lncRNA from 1 species
GAUUAGUGUCUAAAAGUGUUUUAAAGAUAUAUAAUUUACAAGACAUUUUACAUUCACUUUGUUUAAAAACGCUAAUGUUAGUCUCUAAUUCCAAUUCUCAUGCCGUAAAUUCAAUUUCCAUAAAUACAUGGUUAAAAAUGCAAUUAAUUGAAAUACGUAUUUACAUACAUGUCGGCAUGAGUAUUAUACAUUUGAAAGAGUAUCUAUUUGAUGUAUUUCACAUGUAUUUCCAAUUUAGAACAAGUGGAGCAUGUGGGGGAAAAUAAUGUUGAAAAGUCAAAAAUAGUGACUGCCUCAAGCAAGAAGCAGCUGUUGGUAAAAUAAUCAUAACUUGAGCUACAGACAUUGGAUCGAGGUGAUUCAAGUUGGGUUGGAAAGAUAAGGAACGUUUCUACAACUUUCAUGUUUUGGAAGAAAUCAAAUUCGUAUCACAAGGCAGCCAAAAUUAUCGUCCAAAGUCCAGCUUGAUACCUGCCGGAUACAGCUUUACCUGUGAAGCAGCACUUAUUGUUUUUGUCAUAUCUGGAGUUAUAUAGAUCCAAUGAACCUGAUAUUUGAACCAAUGGAAAGCUAACUCAAUUGGUAAUAAUUUGUCUGUUGAUCAUAAGUCCAAAUUCGCUGCACAAUGUAUCUGAAAAUUGGCAUCAAGUUGCAUGUUCCAGCUGUCUUGAAGCUGGACAGAAACAAGUUGCAUUGCCUACUUGAAUUUUGGAUGUUCCUUUGCCUAUAAAAGGGGGACCUUGGCCACGAUUUUGAAGGAUCAAUUCCUCUCCAUCAUAUUAUAGUUUCCUUAAUUUUUCUUUGUAACAUUUCACUAUGUAUUUCUAAACAUUUAGCUAGAGCUAAGGGUGAAACUUUGAUGAAUGUUUAGUAUUGUCUUUGAUCUUUCAUUUUGUUCUUCAAUGUUCAUCUUCUUACUUGGUUGAAGUUUGUGUUCUACAAAUGGUUUUGGUUUGUUAAAGACUUUGAUUUAUUGUUGACAAUUUUGGCACAAUAAAUGCUUAGAUAAUCUCUACAUACCAACAACUUAUUUUGACAUAUUCUCUCAAACAAUUAUCAAGAUCUAUCUUUUAGUAUAUUUGUGGUUAAUGUUUUAUCUUCCAUAUGAGAUCACUCCUUAGUUGAUUUUCAUAUGAGUUAAAUUAAAGAUCAAGUGCAAUUUCUACUCAUUUAUCCGAAGUGAAUCCCCGAUGCUCUACUGUUUGUCUUCAUUGUAUUUUCACCAACCGUUCACUACUCAUAGACUAGUUCAUUUCCUUCCAAUUCCCUGUGGUUCGACCUCGGACUUCCGAGAUUUACUACUUGCGACAACCUGCACUUGGGUUUGCAAC